CUCUGCGCAAGCGCACACCUAUUUCCAGGGCACGAAACUGGGCCUCAAGCCGAGGAGCAUGCGCAGAGGGGGCGGCACUGCGGCGACGCUUAAAGAAAUAGAAAUGCAGAGGUAUGAAGAUCCAUAGUGCAAAGUCAUCCUCAGCUACAGAGUGAAUUUGAGGUCAUCUGGGCUAUAUGAGAGUGCUUCAAAGGAUAGGUACGCACCAGGAAGAUCAUGAACAAGAGUCCAAACAUAUACAGAAGCUGGACCCAGUAUAAACCAGACUUCAUUGUUAGCAUACAAGUAUGCUGGAUCCAACAUCAGAACUCACUCUAUAGACCAGGCUGGCCUCGAACUCAGAAAUCCGCCUGCCUCUGCCUCCCAAGUGCUGGGACUAAAGGCGUGUGCCACCACCACACGGCUCAGCUAACGGCUUUCUACACCAUAUUGUUGAAGUAGACAAGUGGGGUCUAGACUUCUUCAUUGUCCUGGUUAGUUUUGUCAACUUGAAACAAACUUGACUCACCAUGAAAAAGGGAAUCUCAAACUGACAAACUGCCUCCAUUAGACUCGACUGUGGUUGUAUGAAUGAUUGCCUUGACUAAUGAUUGAUGUGGGACCCCCAACCCACUGUGGGCAGCACAAUCCCUAUACAGAUAGUCCUCAGGUGCAUAAGAAAGCUAGCUGAGAAUAAGCCAGUGAGCCAAGCAUAGUUUCUGCUUCUAGGUUCCUCCUUUUAGCUCCUGUACUGACUUCUCUCAAUGAUGGAAGUAUAAGCUGAAAUAAAGUCUUCCCCCCAGCCCCAA